rnacentral:piRNA from 1 species
UGUUAAGAAAGGAAAGAGCAUGCCCAAGAG